AAGAGAAGAGAAUAUAUAGUAGCAGGGGGAGACUCGUCCUAAAACUGAUGAAAUUUGCCAAGUUGGAGCAUCAGAGAGGGGUGACUUUGAAAGAGGAAGAUGGGUAGCCCUCAGCGCUUUUCCCUCAUCUCCAAGGAGGUAACUGCAGCCUGAAAUAUACUUGCCUGCAUGAACAGAGAGACAAAGGGGCUGUGAUGGGAGAUUUGGGAUUUUUGAAGCCCCCUUUUCAUUCUGGUGGAUACGUGUGUUUGCUCAUCGUCAUCAUCACUGCCACUCCCAGCUUCUCCAGCCUCCCAGGACACCCAGACUUCAAUAAAACAACAGAGAAGAUGGAAAAUGGAGUGCUUGGAUGCAGUUGUGGAGUUACAUACAAAUAAUCAGAGAUGAGGCAGAGCCAUAGUCACACAGAGACAUUCAUUACAAAAGCUUGCUGGUCUGGACCUUAUUUGCCUGAGGAAGCCAAUCUGUUUUAGGAUAUGCCCUACACGUGUCAAAGCAAGACUCCUUUUUUUUUUUUUUUUUUCUCUUCCCUGUCUCUGGUCCAUGGUCCUUCUUGCCUGGAGCCAGACUCGGACCACUAGAAGUGGGCUGGUGGUCCCAGCAGGGGCCCAGGCUCUGAGAAACCAUUAACAUGAGGGAAUUAAAGUCAUUAAGCCUGGAAGGGCAAUAGAGGACGAGUCCUUCUAAUGGAGAAGAGAGAUGAGGUUUACAAAGUUAGGUGUGGAAGUUAAAAGAUAGACAAAGAAUAUUUGGAAAAUAUGUGGUUAAACUGUACAGUUAUGCAAAUUGCAGAUAUUUAAAACUAAUCAUACAAAACAGUCUUUAAAUAUCUUCAGGUUUUUACAGAAUAUUUAUGACAAUUGAAUUUUUUUUUUCUUUACAGCUGAUCUAUAUGAAAUUGAUUCGUUUUUAUUAAUUUAGAAUUUAAUGUUUAGUUUUAAGGCUGCAUGAUGGUGCAGUUCAUAGCACUGCUGUCUUGCAGCAAGAAGGUUCUGGUUUCGAUUCCAAUGGAGUUUAUGCAUAUAGUUUUUAUGUUAUCCCCUUGCAUGCGUGAGGUUUUUCUCAACAGGAACAGUCAAAGGUAAUUUAAUGGUUCUGUAUGGCUUUGACCUCCAGCUUAACAAAGACUACGGCUAAACAUUCAGACAGAGGUACAGUGGGUAGUUUCAGUUUAAACAUAUUCAUGUCAAGGAUUGUUCCUAAAUUAAAUUCUCUAUGUCACACUUUUUAGAUUUUUAUUUGCAUAGAUUUAAAAAAAGGAAUUCUCUUUUUAUUUUUCAGUUUGUAAUUUUAUAAUUGUUUGUGUUGGUCUAUUGGGUUAAAUCCUAAUAAACUAAUUCUUAUUUUGUGGUUAUAAUAGCACAGAUAAAAAAAGGGUUCUGUGUGAGAAAGAUAGCGCACCUCACCCUCAGAGCACUCAUACUGGCACUAAAGAGAAUGUGACCUUCCUAUGCUUUCUUUACCACAUACUGGAAAACAUUUUAUAACAAUGAGAAAAAAUAACAUAUUAU